rnacentral:sRNA from 1 species
AGAAGGUGCACACCUUCCUGGAUUACAUCAUGGGUGGCUGCCAGAUCAGCUUCACGGUAGCCAUCGACUUCACCGCCUCCAAUGGGGACCCGAGGAGCAGCCAGUCCCUGCACUGCCUCAGUCCCCGACAGCCCAACCACUACCUGCAGGCCCUGCGUGCAGUGGGAGGCAUCUGCCAGGACUAUGACAGGUAGGAGGGAGUGGGGCGGGAGGGAACAGGCAGGGAGGCCUUGCCCAACGGAUUCCACAGCUUUUUCUUCUCCCCAGUGAUAAGCGGUUCCCAGCUUUUGGCUUUGGGGCUCGAAUCCCCCCCAACUUCGAGGUGUCCCAUGACUUUGCUAUCAACUUUGACCCGGAAAAUCCUGAAUGUGAAGGUAAAAGGGGAGAUUUUCACCUGCCCCGCCUCCCCGCAGACACACUCCACACAGGAGCACAGACUCCAUUCCCCAGGGCCCAGCUUCCUGUCCCUUCCACCCAUCCCAGGCCUGUCUUUAUCAGGUGAGGCUUCCAGGGCCGAGGCCCAGCAUCUGCACCCAACUCUCCCUGCCAAGGGACCAUCCAACUCUCCCACUGCUUAAUGAAGGAACUCGAGGGGAGGGCAGUCCUCAGACCUGGAAGCAUUUCCUUGCUUUAAGGAGUGUCAGGAGGGGGCCCUGC